UACGUAGGGGGCAAGCGUUGUCCGGAUUUAUUGGGCGUAAAGCGCGUGUAGGCGGCCACGCAGGUCCGCUGUGAAAACUCGAGGCUCAACCUCGAGCUGUCGGUGGAAACCGCGUGGCUAGAGUCCGGAAGAGGGGACUGGAAUUCCCGGUGUAGCGGUGGAAUGCGCAGAUAUCGGGAGGAACACCCGUGGCGAAAGCGGCACCCUGGCCGAGUUCUGACGCUGAAGCGCGAAAGCGUGGGGAGCGGACGGG
rnacentral:rRNA from 1 species